GGCCGCGGGAUUGAGUUUGAUCAUGGCUCAGAUUGAACGCUGGCGGCAGGCCUAACACAUGCAAGUCGAGCGGUAACAUGUCUAGCUUGCUAGAUGAUGACGAGCGGCGGACGGGUGAGUAAUGCUUGGGGAUCUGCCUUAGAGUGGAGGAUAACCAUUGGAAACGAUGGCUAAUACUGCAUAGUAUCUGCGGAUUAAAGGGGGCUUCGGCUCUUGCUUUAAGAUGAACCCAAGUGGGAUUAGCUAGUUGGUGAGGUAAUGGCUCACCAAGGCGACGAUCCCUAGCUGGUCUGAGAGGAUGAUCAGCCACACUGGAACUGAGACACGGUCCAGACUCCUACGGGAGGCAGCAGUGGGGAAUAUUGCACAAUGGGCGAAAGCCUGAUGCAGCCAUGCCGCGUGCGUGAAGAAGGCCCUAGGGUUGUAAAGCACUUUCAGUCAGGAGGAAAGGUUAGUAGUUAAUACCUGCUAGCUGUGACGUUACUGACAGAAGAAGCACCGGCUAACUUCGUGCCAGCAGCCGCGGUAAUACGAGGGGUGCAAGCGUUAAUCGGAAUUACUGGGCGUAAAGCGAGCGUAGGCGGCUAAAUAAGCUGGAUGUGAAAAACCGGGGCUCAACCUCGGCCGUGCAUUCAGAACUGUUUAGCUAGAGUCCUGUAGAGGGGGGUAGAAUUUCA
rnacentral:rRNA from 1 species